UACAACUAUUAAAAGAAAAUGAAAUAACAAGAACUUAGAACUUUCACUCGUCUCUCAAUUUCUCUUUCUCUCAGCCUUUCCAUUCUUUUUACACAAAACAGAGCCACCUCCCCUUCCGCCGUGAGCUCCGACGAGGGGGCUGAAACUAUCAAACAAGGAUACCGGUCAGACCGGUUUCUCAACCUUAGUACAAAUCUAGCAUCCAAGUUUUCAACACCUUUGUCAUCCCCAUUUAAUUUCAAAAAAUUCUAUUAACCCUAAACUACCAAAAAACAAAUUAAAGGGUAAUCGUGCAGAGUUUUAAGCAAUGGACAAAGGAUUUUGCAUCAGUACAUCAUAACAAACAACAUGGUAUCAAAGAAACAGAGAAAAAAGAGUGAAAAAAAGACUCACACAAGCGGAGCUAGUCCGACAAGCUCGUGAUUCCGACGAUAUGAUGCAACAUGUGGUGAGAGAAGUGACUCAAGUGGUGGCAACAGUGAUUCCGUUUUGCAUGGUUUUGUAUGGCAUGAUGGAUGUCGUGCGGAUCUGGUAUCAUUGUGAGAGUGAAGUUGUGUAUGGUGCAAUAAAUUUGUGUAUUAAAAGGGUAUGGAUUUGCGGAGGCGAGGAAGCCGUCAAGUGGUGGUUUAACAAGAUAAAGUACACAUGAAGAGCCAAGAGGGUCAAGUAAAAAAAAGUCAGUGAAGUUCAAAAGAGGGACCACACAUAAAGAUGUUUUUUGUGUAAUUUUACUGGAUUUAAUGUAAAACAAAUGUAUUAUUAUUAUAAAUAUAAAACUUAUUAUGCUUUUAA